rnacentral:rRNA from 1 species
UGCUAUUAAUCUUCGGAUUAAGCACUUUGAUGGGACUGCCCGGGAAACCGGGAGGAAGGUGGGGAUGACGUCAAGUCAUCAUGGUCCUUAUGUCCAGGGCUACACACGUGUCACAAUGGCUAAUACAAAGGGAAGCAAAAUCGUAAGAUCAAGCAAACCCCAUAAAGUUAGUCUAAGUUCGGAUUGAGGUCUGCAAUUCGACCUCAUGAAGUUGAAAUCGCUAGUAAUCGCGCAUCAUAACGGCGCGGUGAAUACGUCCUCGGACCUUGUACACACCGCCCGUCACACCAUGAGAGCUGUCUGUACCCAAAGUCAUCUUAGCCAACCUGAAAAGGAGGCGGGUGCCUAAGGUAUGUAUGGUGAUUGGGGUG